AUCUGCCUGGCUCCCUGAAUGCCAUCUAAGAAGCUUUGUCAAGCACGGUUGGCUGCCUUUUUACAUGGCAUGAGGGGAGUCAUGCAGGU
rfam:Gossypium hirsutum cultivar TM-1 chromosome 10, whole genome shotgun sequence